GAAAAGUAAGUCCAGUUGGUUUUGAUUAUCACCUUGAAGAUAAAACAUUAGCUAAUGUCCGAAAAGAAAAAGAUCUCGGCGCGUUCUAAUAACAAGCCACCUUACUUGGGACCAGCAAGUUUUAGCCGUUGUGUGUAAAGCCAACAAAAUGCUUGGUCUUCUACGUAGGACUUGUCCGUUGAUUCGUAACACAAGAGUAAG
rnacentral:lncRNA from 1 species